rnacentral:rRNA from 1 species
UACGGGGGGGGCAAGCGUUGUUCUGAAUUACUGGGCGUAAAGGGCUCGUAGGUGGCCAACUAAGUCAGACGUGAAAUCCCCAGGCUCAACUUGGGAACUGCGUCUGAUACUGGAUGGCUUGAAUUCGGGAGAGGGAUGCAGAAUUCCAGGUGUAGCGGUGAAAUGCGUAGAGAUCGGGAGGAACAUCCGUGGCGAAGGCGGCCAUCUGGAUCAACACUGACGCUGAGGCACGAAAGCGUGGGGAGCAAACAGG